CAUUUUGUAUGAGGUUUCUGGGUUUACUCAGGUUUCAGGUAUGGAAAUGUUGUUCAAGACUUGUGGAGCUACAAAUAUAGCAGGAAGUGGGUUUGAAGAGAGAAGGGAUACUGCCUUUUCAGUAAUGGAAAAUGGUGUGGUUAGUGGCCAUGGGUUCUAUACUACCAGCUAUCAAUCUAUGUAUGUUUUAGGCCAAUGUGAAGGUGAUGUGGGGGAUUCAGAUUGUGGAGUGUGCGUGAAAAAUGCUGCGCAGAGAGCUCAGGUUGAAUGUGGGAACGCUAUUUCAGG
rnacentral:misc_RNA from 1 species